CCUACGGGAGGCAGCAGUGAGGAAUAUUGGUCAAUGGACGAGAGUCUGAACCAGCCAAGUAGCGUGAAGGAUGACUGCCCUAUGGGUUGUAAACUUCUUUUAUAUGGGAAUAAAAUGUUCCACGUGUGGGAUUUUGUAUGUACCAUAUGAAUAAGGAUCGGCUAACUCCGUGCCAGCAGCCGCGGUAAUACGGAGGAUCCGAGCGUUAUCCGGAUUUAUUGGGUUUUAAGGGAGCGUAGGUGGAUUGUUAAGUCAGUUGUGAAAGUUUGCGGCUCAACCGUAAAAUUGCAGUUGAAACUGGCAGUCUUGAGUACAGUAGAGGUGGGCGGAAUUCGUGGUGUAGCGGUGAAAUGCUUAGAUAUCACGAAGAACUACGAUUGCGAAGGCAGUUCACUGGACUGCAACUGACACUGAGGCUCGAAAGUGUGGGUAUCAAACAGGAUUAGAUACCCUUGUAGUC
rnacentral:rRNA from 1 species